GGGAGGCAGCAGUGGGGAAUAUUGGACAAUGGGCGCAAGCCUGAUCCAGCAAUGCCGCGUGUGUGAAGAAGGCCUUCGGGUUGUAAAGCACUUUUAUCAGGAGCGAAAUGCCAUGGGCCAAUACCCCGUGGAGCUGACGGUACCUGAGGAAUAAGCACCGGCUAACUUCGUGCCAGCAGCCGCGGUAAUACGAAGGGUGCAAGCGUUAAUCGGAAUUACUGGGCGUAAAGGGUGCGUAGGCGGUUCGUUAAGUCUGUCGUGAAAUCCCCGGGCUCAACCUGGGAAUGGCGAUGGAUACUGGCGGGCUAGAGUGUGUCAGAGGAUGGUGGAAUUCCCGGUGUAGCGGUGAAAUGCGUAGAGAUCGGGAGGAACAUCAGUGGCGAAGGCGGCCAUCUGGGACAACACUGACGCUGAAGCACGAAAGCGUGGGGAGCAAACAGGAUUAGAUACCCUGGUAGUCCACGCCCUAAACGAUGCGAACUGGAUGUUGGUCUCAACUCGGAGAUCAGUGUCGAAGCAAACGCGUUAAGUUCGCCGCCUGGGGAGUACGGUCGCAAGACUGAAACUCAAAGGAAUUGACGGGGGCCCGCACAAGCGGUGGAGUAUGUGGUUUAAUUCGAUGCAACGCGAAGAACCUUACCUGGCCUUGACAUGUCCGGAAUCCUGCAGAGAUGCGGGAGUGCCUUCGGGAAUCGGAACACAGGUGCUGCAUGGCUGUCGUCAGCUCGUGUCGUGAGAUGUUGGGUUAAGUCCCGCAACGAGCGCAACCCUUGUCCUUAGUUGCCAGCACGUAAAGGUGGGAACUCUAAGGAGACUGCCGGUGACAAACCGGAGGAAGGUGGGGAUGACGUCAAGUCCUCAUGGCCCUUACGGCCAGGGCUACACACGUACUACAAUGGUCGGUACAGAGGGUUGCAAUACCGCGAGGUGGAGCCAAUCCCAGAAAGCCGAUCCCAGUCCGGAUUGGAGUCUGCAACUCGACUCCGUGAAGUCGGAAUCGCUAGUAAUCGCAGAUCAGCUAUGCUGCGGUGAAUACGUUCCCGGGCCUUGUACACUCCGCCC
rnacentral:rRNA from 1 species